GUUGGGAUGGUAUGUAAGUCGCUCUGGAUAAAAGCGUCUGCUAAAUGACGUAAA
rfam:Salmo salar isolate Sally breed double haploid chromosome ssa19, whole genome shotgun sequence.